ensembl:lncRNA
AUGCAAUUAUAUCAAAUCAUACUACUCCACAUCACAAUACAUUACAGUAUAUUACAGUACAUUAUAUUAUAUCACAUCACGAUACAUUACAUCGCAAUAUAUUAUAUCACAUCACAAUACAUUACAGUAUAUUACAGUACAAUAUAUUAUAUCACAUCACAAUACAUUACAUCACAAUAUAUUAUAUCACAUCACAAUACAUUACAGUAUAUUACAGUACAAUAUAUUAUAUCACAUCACAAUACAUUACAUCACAAUAUAUUAUAUCACAUCACAAUACAUUACAGUAUAUUACAGUACAAUAUAUUAUAUCACAUCACAAUACAUUACAGUAUAUUACAGUACAAUAUAUUAUAUCACAUCACAAUACAUUACAGUAUAUUACAGUACAAUAUAUUAUAUCACAUCACAAUACAUUACAGUAUAUUACAGUACAAUAUAUUAUAUCACAUCACAAUACAUUACAUUAUAUUGCAUCAAAUCACAAUAAUUUACAAUACAUUAUAUUAUAUUACAUCACAAUACAUUACAUCACAUUACAAUAUAUUCCGUCAUUUUACAAUACAUCAUAUCACAUCACGCUACUCUUCACCUCGGCAUCCAUCUUUACCACGACCUGCCACCUGGGGGAGCCCAUGCAACUGGGUUGGACCGCCCUCACGGCCACGGGGAGGGAACAGCGGUACCGGGAGGGCCUCUGUGCUUACUGUGCAUCCCCCUCCCACCAUCGCGGAACCGAUCAACUGGCCCCCCGACCACACCACAUCCCUCCCAUCUCCUGCUUCUUCCUGCUGUCCUGCAGUGGACCUUCAUCGAUUACACCACUGCCACGCCCCUGACACGUCGGAUGGACGUACAUAUCGAAAACAUCUCCUUUCUUAUCGCCCAGAUUGUCACUUCAUCCACUCCUGGAGCGGAGCAGCAGGACCCCCUUUCUGGUCUGGACCGACCAUCAAAACCUCAUCACCCUCCAACAAGCCAAGCACGCUCCCGAAUCCACCCCGUCUGAUCCAGCACCCGUCCAUACUACGUCCCCGAAGGGUCGGCAGCGAACCAGCACAUUAA